UACGGGGGGGAGCAAGCGUUGUUCGGAUUUACUGGGCGUAAAGGGCGCGUAGGCGGCCUCUGCAAGUCGACUGUGAAAUCUCCGGGCUUAACCCGGAAAGGUCAGCCGAUACUGCAGGGCUAGAGUGCAGAAGGGGCAACUGGAAUUCUCGGUGUAGCGGUGAAAUGCGUAGAUAUCGAGAGGAACACCUGCGGCGAAGGCGGGUUGCUGGGCUGACACUGACGCUGAAGUGCGAAAGCUAGGGGAGCGAACGGG
rnacentral:rRNA from 1 species